ensembl:lncRNA
UUAUUUUCUUUCCCUCUGUGUUUUUUUUUUUUUUUUUUUUUUUUUUUUUUUUUUGGUUGUUAAUGGGUGCUGGAGACAGCCUCACUUUAAGAUGCCUUAGCUUUGUGAUACUGAUUUAGGAGACCUGUGGAACCAGGACAUGGUUAGCACAGGAGCGUGUGGUUCACCCCAGACCAGCCUUUGUUCUGAGACACGGGUAAUGACUCAUCAACACACCACACACAUACUCAGCCCACAUUUCCUUGACACUGAAUCUGAAUAUUUGUUGCUAUUUAAAAAAGUACAAUGUUUGAUUUGUUGAUUUAAUCACAAAACAAAACACAUGAAUGGAAACACUAAUUUACGUGACUAUUGCUUAUACACCUAAGAGGAAGAGUUGACUGUGGAUGUCCACAGGCAGUUCCUUCAUGAGAGAGUGUGCUCUUACUAGAGCCUUCCAAGGCAAAAAACCAUUCAAGACUGAACUAUGCUGUGCUUGAAUUCACCUUUGGGCUAUGGGAAAGGAUGGAUGGGGCAGGGCCCAGGCUAUUUGAGGGGAAUAAUUAACCAAAAACUGGGGAUUUGCCUGUGCUGCAACACACACAGUUUAUAUAUGAAGGAGGUCCAAGGAUGGAAGCAGCUCUGAAAUGAUUUCUAUUGGAAAAAAGAGAUGCUUUCUAUGCCCACCUGAAUUGCAGUGGGCACAUCCUAUGCAUGCAGUGUGGUGUGAAAGGGAUUCUGGAAAAGGAGUAUAAACUGAUAUAGAGGAGGGUUUAUGUGAUAAUUUUAUACAAUACAUGUAGUAAAUAGAGUAUUUUUGUUACACAUUUUUGUAACAAUCCUAGCUGGUACUGUGGGGAAUGACUAAUUGAUGUAGAUAGUUGAACUACAGAACUGUAAAUAAACUUAAACACACCCCUCCCCCCCCCAGGUAAUUAUAGAAAACAAAACCUGAUUCUCAAAAUUUCAAUUGUCAUGUCUUUUAAUUCAAGGUUUGCAACUGAAGUUAAAGCUCUAGGAAUGGAUUUAAUUUUUUUUAUUAAUAAAUAAAGUAGCUUGUACUUCAUUGAAGACUUGCCAACUCUGCAGACUUAUAAAUAAUCUAAUUUAAUGCAUUUUUUCCUGUCUAUCUACAGCACUUGACAUAAGAUUACAAACAUCUAGUCAAACCCAAAGGUGUGUGUGCUGUUGGAAGUUCUGUGUAACUGGUUUUGAAUGUGAUUGUGACAGAGCUCCUGGAGAGAAGAAUGUGAGAGAACAAAGUACCCAAAUGAACAAAGAGCAUUUUAAAUGGAACCAAUACUUCCAGCCAACCUGGCCUGCUGUAGCUGAGGAUUGCAAGGCUGAAGAGACAUCUAAGCUUGGGAUUUUGCUUGAGGUGGUGCUGUCUGAGUGGGGAAAGGUGAAAGCACAGAAAGAUUUCAACAUCCAGUGACAGCCAAUGUCCUUGAUUUUCCUCCAGCCAGUCCUCCAGUCUUUCUCAGAGUCAGAUGCUGUGCUCCUCGCUGGGAAUGCUGCAGCUUCAUGCCUGUCACUGACAGCCUUGAGCAGCAUUCAGGGCAAGCCUUACAAAAAUCCCACACUCCCCCUCAUUUCACAAUAAAUCACCCAGGCAAGAGUUUUUCCUCCCUCACUGAACUUUUUAAGUGAUGGGUUUUUUCCACAUACAUGGCAAAUCUUGAUAGAAAGCAUUUAACAGUGUGCACUAACAAACUUAUACAACAUAUACAUUACAUAUAUAUAUUAUAUAUAUAGAAUGUUCUAUAUACAAACAUAUACAACUUUUUAGAUCUCUACAGACUACAAGAAAAUUGAUAAUUAUAGUCACAAGUGGUGAACUUAACAGAAAUGGUAAUUGGCAACUGUCUGGAAAUAUGUAAAAUAUGUAAGAGUGGAAAGCUGUGACCUGAUGGGGAGUACUAAAGAAAAGUUGCUUAAAAGUUUAGUAUUAAAAAUUUUAAGUUUGAGGGCAGCUAAAUUCUCAUUUCUCUGUUGCAUAAAAAUGCAAAUGGAAAUCUAGUGGCAGUUUUUUUUUUCACCCUGGUGUUAGAGACUCUUGGCAGCCAGAGUCAGUUGGGCCUUGUGUAAAAGACUUGUUGAGGACACUUUUCUCUCUGGGUGAGCUGCAGUGAUCAGCAGUCAGAAGUUGCUCUUAAAUUUUCUUCAAAGAGCCCAUGAUUCCAAUCAGACUCUGGGGCUGCUUCUGACUGCCACACACCAGGGCAGAAUGGAAAAUAAGCUGGCUGCUGGACAUUUUGAAUGCUGCCCUAGAUGAUUUUGUUGGCCAGAGACCAGCAGAUUUGGAUUACAGGCCAGAGCACAGGCCCAGUGAAUAGAGGUUGAACUGAAGAUCAAAUUGCUAUCAUGUUCUCCUUUAUUUUUCAUCCUCAAUGCCUGGUUAGACCAGUGCUUCCUCACAGGCACAAGUGGCUACUUCUGUGACCCAGCUUUGGAAGGAAUUCCCCAACUCAGUCCCUAUUGGCAUCAGAUUGGCAAGCUUGGCUUAUCCUUACACACAUACACACAGAGAAAUCCUCUUGGGUCCUGGACAGCUCCAUUUCCUUAGCUCUCAGCAGAAGCCCAGGCACUGCUCAGGCUUUGACCUUUUUCCCCUGUAAGUUUCUACAGUUCUGACACCAUAGAGCAGUUUCUCCUGUUCCAAACUUGUGGUGUCUCAUUCCAAGUUGAGCUAAACCUGUCAGGGCCAUCAUUUUGAUUUUGAAUGCAGCAAAAUGUAAAAAUCCUGUAAAUCAUGCAGUGCUCUUCUGCUACAAUGGGAAUUUAAAACUUAACACCUCAAAUCUCUUCCAACCCUUUUACUUGUGCAGAGGGCCAAUUGUGAGGCCAGACUUGUGGAUGGUACAACUUCCUGGGCUGUAUUGUAGGUAAAGGAAGGAGAAGGAAAAUAUGUCUUUGAGAGGGAUUAUCUGAACACUGUGAUGAUACAAACACCAGUGAAGUUAAGGUCUAGGUGGGAGUGGGAUGGUGCCUGUCUCCAUCAGUGUCCAUCAGGAUUCCUUGAAGAGACAGAAGAUGUUACACUUCUUCAGAAGAAAAAUUUUAAAGGCUGUUUUUCCAGCUUUUCCUCAAUUUCUUUUUUCUAAUUUGACACUGUCCAGAUACAUGAAAACAAGCCUUCAGUGCCUUGUUUCCAAGCCAAUCUUGGAAAAAUUUCUAACCUAAGAGUUAGCAUGUGUGGCAGUGAGUCUUGUAGGAUAGGGUGGAACAGGAUAGGCAAUAAAUCCAGCUUACUGUUCUCUUCUCUGGCUGUGGAUUGCAGAGUUUUCUGCAGCAUUCACUGCAAAAACCAAACAAGCCACACUGAAGCAGAAGCAGAACCUUUAGCAGUGUGAGCAGAGUAUAAAUUGCCACUCACCCAUGGUGUCACUUUACAUCUGUGUUCCUAUAUGUGAUGACAAUGGUUUUCCAUGCUCCCCCCUGGCCCACUGUAUAGUAUUUCUGCUCUAAUCUCUCUUUCUCUCAAAGGUUUUGGAGGGGUUUCUGUGCAGGACCCCUCUCAUAAUUUCAGCUGAGCAUUUAAACUGCUCUGUAAGCUUCUCUGCAGCCUCUGUGAGCAGUGUUUGAUGGGACUGUGGUUUCCCAUCUUGCCUUUCCUAACUUGAAGAAAUGCUUUCCAAAGCUGGUUUUCUAUUCCUGUUACUGGGAAAUAAGGCAACAGACUCCACGGGGAUGAAAAGUGCCAUGGCC